rnacentral:rRNA from 1 species
CCACCGCAAGGGUAAGUCCCCAGAAAGACUAUCUGGUUGAUAGGUCGAAGGUGUAAGUGCAGCAAUGUAUUUAGCUUAUCGAUACUAAUAGGUCGAGGACUUGACCAAUAUUUAUU